ACGGCUCAGUAACACGUGGAUAACCUGCCCUUGGGUCCGGCAUAACCCCGGGAAACUGGGGAUAAUACCGGAUAACGCACAUAUGCUGGAAUGCUUUAUGCGUAAAAUGGAUUCGUCUGCCCAAGGAUGGGUCUGCGGCCUAUCAGGUAGUAGUGGGUGUAAUGUACCUACUAGCCUACAACGGGUACGGGUUGUGAGAGCAAGAGCCCGGAGAUGGAUUCUGAGACAUGAAUCCAGGCCCUACGGGGCGCAGCAGGCGCGAAAACUUUACAAUGCGGGAAACCGUGAUAAGGGGACACCGAGUGCCAGCAUCAUAUGCUGGCUGUCCAGGUGUGUAAAAUACACCUGUUAGCAAGGGCCGGGCAAGACCGGUGCCAGCCGCCGCGGUAACACCGGCGGCCCGAGUGGUGAUCGUGAUUAUUGGGUCUAAAGGGUCCGUAGCCGGUUUGGUCAGUCCUCCGGGAAAUCUGACGGCUCAACCGUUAGGCUUUCGGGGGAUACUGCCAGGCUUGGAACCGGGAGAGGUAAGAGGUACUACAGGGGUAGGAGUGAAAUCUUGUAAUCCCUGUGGGACCACCUGUGGCGAAGGCGUCUUACCAGAACGGGUUCGACGGUGAGGGACGAAAGCUGGGGGCACGAACCGGAUUAGAUACCCGGGUAGUCCCAGCCGUAAACGAUGCUCGCUAGGUGUCAGGCAUGGCGCGACCGUGUCUGGUGCCGCAGGGAAGCCGUGAAGCGAGCCACCUGGGAAGUACGGCCGCAAGGCUGAAACUUAAAGGAAUUGACGGGGGAG
rnacentral:rRNA from 1 species